rnacentral:RNase_P_RNA from 1 species
GAAGCUGACCAGACAGUCGCCGCUUCGUCGUCGUCCUUUCGGGGAGACGGGCGGAGGGGAGGAAAGUCCGGGCUCCAUAGGGCAGGGUGCCAGGUAACGCCUGGGGGGGAAACCCACGACCAGUGCAACAGAGAGCAGACCGCCGAUGGCCCACGUAAGUGGGAUCAGGUAAGGGUGAAAGGGUGCGGUAAGAGCGCACCGCGCGGCUGGUAACAGUCCGUGGCACGGUAAACUCCACCCGGAGCAAGGCCAAAUAGGGGUUCAUAAGGUACGGCCCGUACUGAACCCGGGUAGGCUGCUUGAGCCAGUGAGCGAUUGCUGGCCUAGAUGAAUGACUGUCCACGACAGAACCCGGCUUAUCGGUCAG